rnacentral:snRNA from 1 species
UUGCUUCAGCAGCACAUAUAGUAAAGUUGGAACAAUACAGAGAAGAUUAGCAUGGCCCCUGCACAAGGGUGACACAGAAAUCUGUGAAGCGUUUCAUAUUUUU